rnacentral:misc_RNA from 1 species
GAUGAAGAACGUAGCGAAAUGCGAUAAGUAGUGUGAAUUGCAGAAUUCAGUGAAUCAUCGAAUCUUUGAACGCACAUUGCGCCCUUUGGUAUUCCAAAGGGCAUGCCUGUUCGAGCGUCAUUUGUACCCUCAAGCUUUGCUUGGUGUUGGGCGUCUUGUCUCUAGCUUUGCUGGAGACUCGCCUUAAAGUAAUUGGCAGCCGGCCUACUGGUUUCGGAGCGCAGCACAAGUCGCACUCUCUAUCAGCAAAGGUCUAGCAUCCAUUAAGCCUUUUUUUCAACUUUUGACCUCGGAUCAGGUAGGGAUACCCGCUGAACUUAAGCAUAUCAAUAAGGAGGA